AAGUUGAUGUUUGAAAUAUUCCCUACAGGUGGCAUUCUUGGAUUAUCUUCUGGGAACACAUCCAAAAACUCAUUCACCACUUCUAUGUUCUCAGGCUUAGCUAUCUCUUCGUGUUCCAAGUUCCUUACACUAUAAAAAUAUAUUGGAUGUCCCUUCUUAAUAUACUUAGUCAACUUCAUCAUAGAUAUGAUCCUUGGGAACUUUGUUUCACCAUGCUUCCAAUGUGUUACCAACUCACCCUCAGUUGUACUUUACUGCACUUUCUGCGAUCGACAACGAAUCUCUGCACUAUACUUGCUUAACCAAUCCAUUCCCAAAAUGACGUCGAAGUCACUUAACCCAAAUUCAAUGAGGUCAGACAAAAACACUUUUCCCUUGAUCUCUAGUGGGACAUUCUUAAAGGUUUUGGUACACUGUACUAUCCCUCUCGUAGGAAUAACUAUAGGUACAUCUAUGACAUCUACAGCUUUCAAACAGGGUGAUAGCUUUGAAACAGGCUUUUGAAAUGAAAAAAAAAGUUGCACCAGAAUGAAACAAAACUUUAACAGGAAUCACUAGUAGAAAAAAUGAAAUAGGCACCCCCCUUUAACUCGGUUCUUGAAAACCGGUGCCAAAAAAAAUGGGCGGGAUUGAAAAAAUCAGUGUUGGCACCGGUUCCAACCAACGGUGCCAAUCAUUUAAUUAGCACCGGUUCAAACCGGUGCCAAUUAAUUAAAAAAAAAACUGGGGUCCUGCGUGCUUUUCUUUCUUUCUUUCUUUCACCCCGUUUUUUCCGUCUUCUGUUUUCACUCUAGUUUUCGCCCUCUCUUCCACGCACCAUCCCGAAUUUCACCUUCUCCAUUGAAGGGUUUACGAGAUUUUUCACUCCAUUGAAGCAUCACCUCCUUCUCUCUCCAUAUCUCUGGCCUCCAUUGAACUCGUUCUCUAUAUUCUCCAUUGAAGUCAAUUCUGAGCUUUCUCACCUCCAUUGAAGCAGCUUCGAGGUAAGGGUUCUGGUUUUAAUAAUCUAGGGUUUGUCCUAACUGCCGCCACUCACCCUUCGCCGGCCAUCCUCUGUUCCCCUCAGCCGUCCUUCGUGCAUCGGCUACCGACCACUAGGUAAAAGUGUGGUGUACAAAUCAGGAAGCUAGUGUGCUUAAUAUUGACAUGAAGGCAAAUAUAUGUUGUGUCAAGUACAAUCCAGGAUCCAGCUAUCAUAUUGCGGUUGGGUCUGCUGACCAUCAUAUUCAUUACUAUGAUCUGAGGAAUAUAAGCCAGCCCCUUCAUGUGUUUGGUGGGCAUAAGAAAGCGGUUUCAUAUGUCAAAUUCUUAUCAAAUAAUGAGCUUGCUUCGGCUUCAACGGACAGCACAUUGAGGCUGAGGCGAGCUUGUUAAUCUAGUAUAUCACUUAAGCUAACUAAACUCUGAAACUUAUCCUACUUAUGUGUGACUAUCAAUUCCAACAGUGUCUAAUGUGCAGCUGUCCAAGAGCUCUAGUUGCUAUCAAAUCCUCUUUCGUGGGAAAUGUGUUUUCUAGCCUCUUGUAUAUUGAUUCUGAUGACAGGUGCAAUUGCUCCUUUUUUGUUAACAAAGCUCACUUUGGUUCUUUGAAAACAUUAAGAAACAUUUUAUUCAAGAAAAUUCAUUUGAUCUUUUAGAAAUUGUCUAUUGGUUUUAUAAACAGAUUUCUCUGUGCUGUUAUAUAGCUCAUAUAGCCAUUUAUUUUCAAUGUUUCUCCACAUUCGAGUUCAAGGCAUACGUAAUAAGACAGCUAUAGUAUAAGACAGCUACGAAAACAAUUUGCUGAAUAUAGUUUAUUUUCAAUAUUUCUCCUCAUGGAUACUUAUAUCGAGCUUCACCUAUAUCGAAUGGAUACUUUUCUGUUCUGAUUCUGUCUUAAAAAUUGAAACUUUGAUGAAACUUGUGUUGAUAAUCUAUUAUUUUGGUUAGGGACUUAGGGUCACAACAAUUACCAGUUUUUAUUCUAAAAUUUGAUUAUUUUGCUCAUGAUUAUUAAUUUCCACUCAUGUUUUGAUACUUUUGUCUUGUGAUUUUGUCAUUUCAGUUCAAUAUAGCUGGAAAUUUAAGAGUAAAAUAUCGUUUAAGCUAUGGUUACAGCAAGUUCAUCUUCCAUUUGUGCAAUAAAUUUGUUCUUUAGAGUGAAGGGUCAACAAUUACUUCACCCAAGAUGUCAAGAUGCUACUUUUACCAUGCUGAAUUUGCCCUGCUUAGGAAGAAGUAUCAAAGGUAUUAGAGUAGAUAGAAAUUAUAUUUUGGUUCUAAAAUGCUGAUCAACUUUUUGCCUUUGGCCCACUACCUCUGGCAGGAAAAAUUAUCCUACUUGUAUUUCUAUAGAUCACUUGGAACAUUUUUGUGUUGAUGAAGAAAAAAAUCGUUGAAAUAUAGUAUCUUCUGCAAAGAACUAAAUAUCUACCUUUUCACAAAUCAGCUGAGCAGCAUCAACAAUAUCACUCAUGCUACCAAUACCACCACCAAUGGAUACUCCCUGUUGUCUUUCUCAUCCUGCUUCGUCGGAAUCCAAUUUGCAUCUUUAAGGGCCUCAUCUGCAGCACAUAGUGCAUAUCCUAUAAACCUUGAAAUUAACCUAUGCUCCUGGUUAUACAAAUAACCAGACCAUUGUUCUGUUAAUAUAUGUUCAUCAAUUGCUCAAUAAGGCCAAUACCAAUACAGCAAAAAAUUUCAAACUUAAAGUUUUGAGUACAUCACAGACUCAACGGAAACUGCAUUAGUAACACACGCACAAAUAACUUAUUCAUUAGAAAAUUUACAAUUGUAACUUCUGAUCAAAAUCGAAUACGGCCAUUUAUAUUAAAAAAUACAUAUACAGUAAAAAGAGUGACAUGUAAUUGCCAUGCUGAAUUUGUGCUGUUAACGUCUGUUUCUAUUUUCUCUUGUGGUACUUGUAGUUGUAGUUCUUGUGGAUGCCUCCUGAACAUGUUCUAUUGGAAGAGAAUGUUAAGGCUAACAAGUAUGCAUACUACUGCAUUGAUGCUUUUAAGGUAAGCUUGCUUCUUCUUUCUCCUCACCACUAUUAGUUUUGGUUUCUGACCUCAUUCCUAUUUCUCAAGGUAAGUCCUAACAAUAAGCUGAUUACAUAUGCGGUGAACAGUGUGAAGUAUGAUUUCAGGUACCAAAAUUUUGCUAUAAAAUCAGGCUGCCUAGCUAUCUAGAUACUAAUUUGGCUCUGUGCUAAAGCUUUUAUAUUUCCCCAUUUCUAUCACAUCUACCUAGAAUUCCUUGAACCGGUGCCUUUUUACCUUUUUCGUCUAGUGAAAGUACAGGACGAGCAUAGUCGAUGUGCAAGACCCAAGUACCAACUGAGUGUACCCGUUUUGUCUAUUGUGUUUUGCUGCAGGCUGUGUUCUACUGUGAUGCUGAGCUAGUCAGUGUGCUGGGGUUGUUUGACUGUUCCUGUGCCUGCUCAGAGCUUCUGUUUUUUCUGUCCCUGCUGGUUUGCUAUGGUCUGUCUUAUAAAUUGAAACUAUCUUAUAAUAUUUCUUACUAUUGUUCAUCUGGCUUUAGGUUAGAGAAUCGUCUCUCAAAGCAUAAUAUGUUUCUGCAUCAUAUGCGAGUUGAGCAUAAGGAUCUAGUGCCACCCAUGAUCAUUUCUGGAAAUUAGUUUACAAUGAUCAGUCAACACCAAGUAGCUGCAAGGGAAUACUUGGAAGUGCAUAAACAAAUGCCAAAUUCCCCACUGACCAAUCUCUGUGUCGGGGCUGCCUUAAUCAAUUUAGCCCUUGGACAUAGACUUCAAAACAAGCAUCAGUGUGUUGCACAAGGCUUAGCUUUCCUUUACAACAAUCUGCGACUUUGUGAAAAUAGCCAGGAAGCCUUGUAUAAUAUAGCUCGUGCAUUCCACCACGCAGGACUUCUCACAUUUCAGGAAGUCUUUUUGGGCUGCUGUUAUAUGUUUUGUUCUCCGUAGUUUUGGCUUUGUGUUAGGUGUUGUCCCGGUCCCAGUUUUAAGUGUAAUGCAAGAAAGGUCAAUUAGAGAUAAGUCUGGAUUAUUUAACUUUUUUUGGACGAAAAUUGUAAUAUUAAAGGCUUUAUAGCC